rnacentral:rRNA from 1 species
CGUAGGACGCAAGCGUUAUCCGGAGUUACUGGGCGUAAAGCGCGGGCAGGCGGCUCGAUGCGUCUGAUGUGAAAUCACCCGGCUCAACCGGGAGAGGCCAUUGGAAACGGUCGAGCUGGAGGGCAGUAGAGGCAGGCGGAAUUCCGGGUGGAGUGGUGAAAUGCGUAGAGAUCCGGAGGAACACCAGAGGCGAAGGCGGCCUGCUGGGCUGCACCUGACGCUGAGCCGCGAAAGCCAGGGGAGCGAACGGGAUUAGAAACCCCGGUAGUCCUGGCCGUAAACGAUGUGUGCUGGAUGAUGGCCCGAACGGGUCGUUGUCGAAGCUAACGCGAUAAGCACACCGCCUGGGGAGUACGGCCGCAAGGCUA